UACGUAGGGGGCAAGCGUUGUCCGGAAUCAUUGGGCGUAAAGCGCGCGUAGGCGGCCCGGUAAGUCCGUUGUGAAAGUCAAAGGCUCAACCUUUGAACGCCGAUGGAUACUGCCGGGCUAGAGUCCGGAAGAGGCGAGUGGAAUUCCUGGUGUAGCGGUGGAAUGCGCAGAUAUCAGGAGGAACACCAAUAGCGAAGGCAGCUCGCUGGGACGGUACUGACGCUGAGGCGCGAAAGCCAGGGGAGCAAACGGG
rnacentral:rRNA from 1 species